rnacentral:rRNA from 1 species
UAUCUCUGUAGAGUCUGCAUAUCAAUAAGCGGAGGAAAAGAAACUAACUAGGAUUCCCUUAGUAACGGCGAGUGAAGCGGGAAGAGCUCAAAUCUGAAAUCUUCAAGGUUCUACCUAGACGAAUUGUAGUUUAAAGAAGUGUUUUCUGUUGGAAUUUUCGGUAAAGGUUCUUUGGAAAUAGGACAUCAAUAGAGGGUGAGAAUCCCGUAUUUGACCAUUAUUUCAGCUGUGUGAUACACUUUCAAAGAGUCGGAUUGUUUGGGAAUGCAGUCCAAAAUGGGUGGUAAAUUUCAUCUAAAGCUAAAUAUUGGCGAGAGACCGAUAGCGAACAAGUACCGUGAGGGAAAGAUGAAAGAACUUUGAAAAGAGAGUUAAACAGUACGUGAAAUUGUCAAAAGGGAAGCGUUUGACACCAGUGUUGUUUUCUCGAAAAUCAUAUUAAAAAAGAUUGGAUUUUGUGUUGUAUUGACUUUAUCAGCUUUCUGCACUCUUUUUCUUGUCUUUUUUAAUGCACUUUUCGUUUAACAAGUCAACAUCAAUUUCUUUUGUUGUAAAAGGGUCAUUGGAAGGUGGCUUUCUUUUCGGAGAAAGUGUUUAUAGCCUUUGGCCUCUGCAAUCGGAGAGAUUGAGGUCUGCAGCGUAGAUCCUUCGGGGUUAGAUACAUUUGUGCUAAGUUAUAGCCUUUCAUAGACAACUUGUUGACUAUGAUCAGUCAUGUAGCUUACUCGCUUAUGCUAUUUUACCUACGCUUAGGAUGUUGAUCUCUCACAGUCGAGC